CCAGGCACAGGUGGUAUGCUCUUUGCCUUACCCAACAGUUAUAACACUACAACCUGUCAUGAGCACCCAUGUGAUUUUACCCCAAAAGUGGGCACUGCAGUGGGGUUUGCUCUAACUGUACACUGUCCUCUGUUGUCACUGCAGGGCUGUUAGAGCUCAAGGACUGAGACCUCUCACAUAGAAUGAGGUGCUUUCUGAGACCCACCUAGCAAACCUUGCUGGGGUGUGUUCGUCAGUCCCACACAGCUGACUCCCAGCAUUCAGAAUGAGCGAAGACCCAAGAACCAUUUCUCUUUUGUUUUUCACGUACACACAUAAUUUCGUCAUUGCUGUUUUUUUUCCUAGCUCAAAAUAUUUCACACUUUUGUUAACAUGCUUCUUGGUAUCCUGGAGUUGCUGGUGCUAAUGGAGAAUUUUUUUUUUUUCUUUUUCACUACGCGCUAGUAAAUUCUGCCUUGUAGGAGGAAGUCAGCCUGCCCCAGUUAACACAGAGAAAGGUCCUCAGGCCCUGCUGAGAGUGGUCCCAGGAUGGUGGUCUGGUUGCUGGAUAGCUGCCUGCAAAACAUGCAUGCAUUCUCAAGCAGGAGUUCAUAGUCUGGGCUGCAGCGGGACAGGACAGUCACCUCCAUCCCCGUAAAUGGCCACUCCAGCAGGUCUAGUGUCUGGCCUAGCCUCUAGUCCAGCAAGAGUCUCUUAGAAAAGGCAGCCCUGGUUCAUUUCAUGGACCAUGCCUUCUGUCUUUCAAAGAUACCACGAGACCAUGCAGUAGCUCUCUGCACACAGCCCCUUCCUCCAAUGAGCUCCUCACCAAGAAAACAGAGCGAUCUUCAGACAAGCCAGGCCAGCCCCUCUCCUACCUCUCCUACGACCACAGAAGGUUCCGCUUCAAGUUAGCUUCGUCAGGACCUGCUUCUCCCACUUCCUCUCCACCCCACUCGUCCCUCACUCACCCUGCACUGACACACUGACUUCCUGGCUGACUGCCCCUUCCAGCUUACACGCCAUUCCUAAAGAUCUCAGAACUGAAGGCCUCUGAUCUCAGGAGGUCUCACCUAGAAGGUCACCUCCUCAGAGAAAACCUCCAGCCCUUUUCUUUCAUGUCACUUGGUCUCAUUUUUUUUUUUUUUUAUCAGAGCACCUAUGACUUCUCAGGAUCUUCCCAUCCACGAAUGUUCCUUCCCCAGUGGGAAGACUCAGGCCACGCAGGCCUCAUACACAUACGAUCCACCAAGCCUGGAUUCCUCUCCAGUGGCCCCCGAUCUGGAAUUACAGCCAGGGCACCAGCCUGCUUCUUGAACAAGUGUUGGCAUUUUGUUCCCAGCAGCUCCAGUAAUCAGAUGCUAGCCCCAGACCCCGUGAUUCAGUCAGCAGCCUGAGAAGGCUGGGUCAGGAACACAGGGACCUUCUUUCUUCUGAAAGAUAGCAGCGUUCCAAAGACUGGGGCCACAGAUGAGGGCUGAGCAGCAGGCCUGAGAACUGACCUGUGUGCUGGAAGCCGACCCUCCCCUGCACCAUGCCAACUGUGACAUUUCACAAACCAGGCAAUCGCCCAGCUUUACAAAGGAGGUGUUACUGAGCUCUGGGAUCGCCAUGUAACUAGUGCUGGGAUGAAAUUGGAUUUCCCUUUUCAGAACAAAGACAAACACACUCCUCUGGGAAGCCCAUCCUGGGAGAAGCUGCAUGUAUCAGAGGCCCCACUUCCGUGCCAAGCAUUCAAAGCCCAUUGCCCAGCCUGCUUGCUUCAGCCGUUCCUGGCAGAGUACACCGGAAUUCUCCAGCUUUGAAAUCUAAUUGCCUACCAUAGCCAUGAAACCCAUUUCCAAGGCAGAAAAAAGAAAAUUGAAAAGAGAGAAAAAAAGGAAAAUCAAAAGAAAGGCACAUGGUUUGUGGGAGCAGUUCUCACGGAAGCAGCUAAGAUGAGCCAGCUGAGCGUUUGACGCUCUGCCUUUGGGGGAGGCCAGUUUUAUAAAACAGCCGCAGAAAGCAGGCGUGCAGAAGAGGAAAAUCAAAAAAGACAGUUUCUGUCAGCAACAAGAAAAUGGAAGUCACAGGCAAAACCAGGAAACCCUCUCCCUGGAGUUACCGUGAUCUGCAGGAUAAUUGGGCCAAGCUCUCGCAUCCGGGAGUGGACACUGAUGGCCAUGUCAGGGCCUGCAGGAAUCGCUUAGCUCUCUAACAAUUUCAGGAGUCUGCCUGGCAAAAAGGACACUGUCUGCCAACAUCUCCAGUUCAAUGGUGACCAAUGAGUUAGGGGACUCUGCCACUACAGCAGAGUACAAAUCAUCAGGCUUUGUUUGGAGGCUUGAAAUGAAGAAUGAGAUCCUAAAAUCAUUUACAAUAAAAAUGAGCCCUGAGAUUUAA